rnacentral:pre_miRNA from 1 species
UUUUAUAGGUGAGCAAAGAAAGUAGUUUCUUGAGAUGGAAUCUGCUCCUGGUGAAGACGCUGUGAA